CCCCCCAGCGCCGAGUGCGCAUGCGGCAAGUUGGGAGGUGGUUUCGAGUGAUGGAGUAAAUUUCUUUGUCUCGGUUCGGCGGCCGCGUGCGGAGGAGGUUUGCCGCCGGGACUCUGCGGCUGUGUUUACCGACCGAAAGUCGUGGAGGAAACUGGCAAAAAACGGCCACUUUCUCAGAAAGCGAGUGGAACUUGAGGGAGGAAACCAUGGAAAAAGGGACUCAUGGAAUCCAAUAAACAGGAGAUCCAGCCCAAGAAAGAGGCAAGAGAAAAUACCACUGCCACAGCUGCCCAACAGGCCUGGAGAGGAAUCCAUCCUAAAAAGAGCAGGAGAACAGAGAACUGCAAGGUCGGGGAAUGUCUCCAAGAAAAAAAAAAGAAAGAAAAUAAAUGGAUUGAUUACCAAUAUGUUUGAAUCUCUUGAGAGAAAAUUUCAGUUUCUGUCAGAGAUUUUGUGGAUCAAUUGGUGAUAAAUACACAGAUAACUAAGUGUAGCCAAUUUGUUGAACAGAUGGGAACUCUGGGGUGUAGGAAGAAAAUAAGUUUAUUCUUGGAUGCAAAGUUUAUUCUUUGCAUAUUCAAAUUGUUCUUCCCCCCAUGCCCUUGAAUGAAGUCUAGGGCAAAUCUCGGCCUAUUUAGUCACUCAGGUAAUAAAAUUCUCUUGAUCACUUAAAACUUC